GAGAGAUCUUACUGUCACCUGCUCUUAAAUGGGAAAGUCUUUGUUCAGCCAAAGAUUUUUGGAAAAGGAUUUGCAAGAAGGCUUUUUCACCUCCCCCCUCCUUCUCUUGCCAUCUCCCAAAAGGGUGGGAGACCAAGAGGAGGGAGCCAGAGGAAGCUGAGUAUGAAGAUACAAAUGUAGGAGGAUUCAGAUAUUUGGUCCUACAGGAAAUGGAAGAGACAAGAAGCUGAGGUGGAGGCAAAGAGAUGAAAAUGGGUUCUAAAUAAAGAAGCAGAGCCUCCUUCUCACCCGCUCUUUCUGCCCUCCCCCCACCACUACACACAAAUAAGAUCUUUCUCUACCUUUCCCCAUGACUCCACCAGCAUGGAGAAAUCAAUUGUCAGCCAAAUCCCAAAAGAAUAAAAGAAAAAUAUCUCUUCAGAAGGAGAGGGCAGAUGGGAGAGAUGGAAUCAUCAAUAAAAGGCUGAAGGGAUUGGCCUAGAGAGUGUGGAAUCCAAGAGGGUGUUUAUUUUCAAAACAAAAGCUUACUGAUCAUGUACUUUUCAACAGAUGAGAAAAAUGGAAUGAGUAGAGCCUGUGCCUGGGCUUGGGGACAUGCCCACAGUGGCCUGAGCUACUGAGUCAGCAAGAGUGGCUUUUGUUCUCUUUCCUCAGGCGGCAGGCAGCCUCUGUGUGAGCAGGCUUCACCAGUAAACUACCCAUAAGCUCCAGGAAGGCUGCAUCUGGCCUGGCUGUCCUUCUCAUUUCACUAGAUCACUUAGAAUCCCAACUUCCUGCCCUGCCCACAUAUUGGAACAGCCCAAAGAAGCCUCACCAGCCUUCCUUUGGCAUACAAUCCCCAUGACUGGAAAGAUGUCCAUCACAAAUCUUGCUUUUGGCUGGCAUCUUUGGGGGCACUGCUCUUUCCACAAAUGUUUCUUAAGAAAAGGUCUUUAAGACAGGACAGUCGUUUUUUUUUCUUUAGAAGCUACAUAUCAGAGUAUUAGACAGACAUGAUUAGAUUUAAAGUAGGCCUCGGCAAAUCGUGUGCUGUGUGACCUUAUGCAACUGAGUUUUCUUUUCUGAGCCUUAGUUUCCUCAUUGGUAAAAUGGGAUAAAUCAGACCUGCCUCACAGGGUGUGGUGUGAAUGAGGAAAAUGAAGACAAGGUGCAGACCAGGGUCUGGCAAAGAGAAGGAAGUCAACAGUGGGCAGUGAACCUGGCUGGAGAGACUCCAAGGACCCAUUCAAGACUUGUUUGUUUACUGUUGUGGAUGUUUGCUUUGGGCCUUGGUCAGUGGCUUUUUCAAACAGAACCACACACAUACUUGUGUUUUGAGUGCUCAUUCUCUUUGGAAAUAGCUCCUGGCCUGCCUGAGUCACAUCUUCCAGGUCCUGCCUGCGCCCUGGGUCUCAAUGUCUACACCUGGAAAACAAAGCAUACAAACUUGACUUUGAUUAAUUUGAAUCAGCUUUGGGGUGCCAUCCCAUCCCUAAUGUCUGAGAACUCUCUACUAGACUUUCUGCACCAGAGACUUCCCCAUCCACUCACAGUGCUGGGUCCCACAAAGGUGGAACUGUGAGGUCAUACAUGAUAAAAUGCAAACCUAAGUAAGAGAAGAAAUAAAAAACAAAAAUGAAAACAAAAAUCUGGUUAGUAUUUCUUGAUUAUGUGCAAGUGAAAAUCAUCCAUACAAAGUAGGAAGUCAGUGUUCUGCACCCACCAACUUUUGGCAAUUUCAUCACACCCCCAGGUGCUACCACUGUUGACAGUUUGGUGUAUGUCUUUCCCACAUUUUUUUCCUGAGUUUCUCACACAUAUCCCUAUUUACAUGUAUACAUGCAUGUAUAUGUAAAUUUCACAGAACUGUGGCCUGCAACCUGCAAUUUACUUGGUACCAUAUCAAGUGCAUCCUUUCAUGUCAGUAUAAAUAAAUCUACUUUCUGUGUUGAAUGUGCCAUAUUGUUCACGCCAUAGAGAAACUGUAGUUAUUCAGUUAAAACCUUAUGAUGGGCAAUAGGUUGUUUCUGGUUGUUUUUCAUUUGGGGUUGGUGUUUUGCUACACCAAAAAGGCUGAAGCAAGCAUAUUGUAUAUAUUGCUGUAUGUUCUGGUGUUUUAUUUCUGUAGAAUCAACUCCUAGAAGUGUGACUUCUGA